rnacentral:rRNA from 1 species
CGGACGGGUGAGUAAUGUCUGGGAAACUGCCCGAUGGAGGGGGAUAACUACUGGAAACGGUAGCUAAUACCGCAUAAUGUCUACGGACCAAAGCGGGGGACCUCCGGGCCUCGCGCCAUCAGAUGAACCCAUAUGGGAUUAGCUAGUAGGUGGGGUAACGGCUCACCUAGGCGACGAUCCCUAGCUGGCCUGAGAGGAUGACCAGCCACACUGGAACUGAGACACGGUCCAG